rnacentral:rRNA from 1 species
UACGUAGGUGGCAAGCGUUAUCCGGAUUUAUUGGGCGUAAAGGGAACGCAGGCGGUCUUUUAAGUCUGAUGUGAAAGCCUUCGGCUUAACCGGAGUAGUGCAUUGGAAACUGGGAGACUUGAGUGCAGAAGAGAAGAGUGGAACUCCAUGUGUAGCGGUGAAAUGCGUAGAUAUAUGGAAGAACACCAGUGGCGAAAGCGGCUCUCUGGUCUGUAACUGACGCUGAGGUUCGAAAGCGUGGGUAGCAAACAGG